AAACAUUCUGUUGUUACCUAUACACCGGCGACACAAAUGGGUAUCUCUAGGAGACUUCUGUGAUUAGCCUAGGGAGAAAAAUGUAGAGUGAAAAGACCUUGAACCAAAUUUAGAGAAACCCCAUUAUUAAUGGCCAGGUAGAGGAGGAUGAGUCUGCAAAAGAAACCAGAAGGAGCAAAUCAAGAUAGAAAAAGAACCAGGAGAGUUUUUUGAGAAGAAAGCUGAAUGUGGAUGACAGUUCACAUAAGAGGAAGACCGAAAAUGUCCAUUACAUUGAGCGACACAGAACUUGAGCUUACUGGUGACUUUACCAAGAAGCUACUUAGUCAACUUGCUGAGCCUUACUACACAAGAAGAAAGCCAUAAACAAGACACAUGGUUUGGGCUUUGUGGACCUAAUAGGUAGGCCCCCUGAGGACACCGGCUGCAUCUCAUUUCUUUAAAAAACAUUUCCUGAGAGCUUACCCUGGGCCAAGCACUGGGGGUGCAAAGAUUGACACAAGGGCCCUUACUCUCACAAUCCAGUGAAGAUUGACAAAAGUGAUUACAGAUGAAUGUUAAGAAACGAUACAGCAUUAAGUACACGUUACUAAGGAGAAUAGUUGAGUUCGGUCACAUGGCAUGGUUAACACCUGGAAGUCACUCAAGGUAAUAACUACCAUGGAUUUGUUGCUUAUUCAGAGGAAACAUAUCAGAAUGGAAGUAAAGAAGGCAAAAUUUUAUGUCUCUUUUGACACACAAGGACUCAAAUCUCAUCAUUGUCUUUACGUCAUCCAUUAUACCAGUAAAAAGAUCGAACUCUCAAUAAAUAUGUUCUUUGUCUUAAAAGAAACUUCUAGAAAACGUAAAAAUGCACUGCAAAUGAAAUAUCUUGAUUAUUUCAGUUCAAACAGGACAUGAUUUUCAUUUUGACCCAUGGCCCUGGCCAUAAACACAAGGUGCAUGCAUUUUUUUCUACAAUUUGUGCUUUGUGUAGAGUACUAAGUUUCUCUCAUAACAUUAUUCACCACACUUGUUCAUUUCUCAGUAUGGAAAAAAAAUACAGAGUGUAAUAUAAAAAGUUUAGCCAUACUCUUUAUACUGAAUAGCAAUCAUUUAACUGUGUUCCACAGAUCUCCAAGGCAUUUUCAAUAGUAUCAAUCUAAGAAGCUUCUCUAGGAAUUUCUUUAAAUCUGGUUUAAUAAUGACGACAUUUUCAUUUUGUCCCUAUGACUAUUCCUGUAGAUUCUAUGGCAUUUAAAAGGUACAUAUGAGCUCAAAAAAAAGACACAAAUCUUGUAAAGAUCAAUUUUUUUUUUCAUUUAAAUAGUGGCCUAUGUCACAAGUUAGAAAAAAAGUAAAGGUUUUUCUUUACAUACAAAGCUUAUGCUAAUUAUGGCAAUUAUUUUGGGAUCUGUAACUUAAAAUGAAGCCCUUUGAAGGCAGAACUUUAAUUUGUAGCUAUGGUUCUUGUUCUCAGAAGCUGUAUGUGUUUUUAAUUAUUGUCUUUAUUGACCAGUGAUUGGCUAAAUCCUUUUCUCAAAAGACAUCACCACAUUCCACAUUACUAUGUUCCUAGCUGUUCUGUUGAUGUUUCUUGCCAGCUUCCCACGUUGUUUGAAGAAGUACUUACUGCAUCUGUAAGAGUGUGUCUGUCAGGAUCUUGCUAUUUGCAGUUCAUUCACUUAAACUCAUUAAAGCCUUUAGGGUAUUUUGUGCCUAGACCAGUGAAGAUGUAUUGUGAUCAACAUAAUUUGAAUUCAAGUGGAUUAAAAUCUCAUUGUAAGGGAUACAAAAUCAGCAAUAACUCACAUGCCCAGAUGUCUCAUUCUAAUGCAGAAUUGUCCAGUAUUCACCACUUGCCAAUGUGAGCAGGAGAGGCUUAAAAAGUUUUUAAUAAUCUUUCCUUCCAGAGUUAAAUCAGGAAUCAGUUUCCCAGAGAUUAUGUGGAAAUGAGGCAAACUUACCUUCACAGUGUCAGUCAUCCUCAAAGUUCAACUAGAUACCAAAAAUUUAGUAUCUAUUACCUGAUGAUGGAUAAUUACCUGAGGAUUAGUAAUAGAAACUUUUCAUCAAACUUAAUCAAGUUCAUUAAAAUGUUACUAGCACUGGUAGAUUGCCUGCUACCUUGAGCACUGUUACAGAAGGUAAUUGAUAAGUCUGUAAUCUUGAAAAACUUCUUAGAAACUACUACAACUAACUAAAAUCGUUCCUGUUUUUCCAUUUCCAUGAUAGAUAUUUAACAUUAGUAACAAUAACAGUAGAGAUAGCCUGGGUGCAGUGGCUCAUGCCUGUAAUCCUAGCACUUUGGG